GCCAAAUAGCUAGCCUGAACACAACCGUAACCCCAAAAUAUAUAUAUAAAGAACCUAUAAUUUCACACUAAAACAUUCUACCCCCCUAGUAUAGGUGAUAGAAAAGGUCCCCAGAGCAAUAGAAAAAGUACCGCAAGGGAAAGCUGAAAAAGAAAUGAAACAACCCGAUAAAGCAAAAAAAAGCAGAGAUUAGACCUCGUACCUUUUGCAUCAUGAUCUAGCAAGAAAGCCCAAGCGAAGAGAACUUAAGUUUGACCCCCCGAAACCAGGAGAGCUACUUCGGAGCAGCCCAAUGGGGCAAACCCGUCUCUGUGGCAAAAGAGUGGGGAGACUCCCGAGUAGAAGUGACAAGCCUACCGAACCUGGUGAUAGCUGGUUGCUCAGAAAAUGAAUAUAAGUUCAGCGCCGUGAACUUCUAACCCUAUAUAAAAAGAGGAAAGCAAGACACAGCAGUUAGCCAAAAGGGGUACAGCCCUUUUGGAAAAGGACACAACCUUAUUUAGGGAGGGAAAGGAUCAAAACCCAAGGCAUCUUCCCCAGUGGGCCUAAAAGCAGCCACCUGUAAAGAUAGCGUUAAAGCUCAAGCAUACUUUAACCAAGAAUGUAAAAUAACUAAGCCACACCCCCCAAAAAAUACUGAGCCCCCCCAUGAGCAUAUGGAGAAGAUAAUGCUAGAACUAGUAAUAAGAGGAGCCACGCCCCUCUCCCCGCACGAUUGUGAGUCAGGCAGGACCAACCACUGAUAACUAACGGACCUAAUAGAAGGCAAAGCAAAGGAAAAAUAACAUACAAGAAUUCCAUGCCAAAACAACCGUCACCCCAACACAGGAGUGCGCCCGGGAAAGACUAAAAGGAAGAGAAGGAACUCGGCAAAGCAAAGUCCCGCCUGUUUACCAAAAACAUCGCCUCUUGCUAAUAAUGAAGUAUUAGAGGUCCCGCCUGCCCUGUGACAGCAGUGUUUAACGGCCGCGGUAUUCUAACCGCGCGAAGGUAGCGUAAUCACUUGUCUUUUAAAUGGAGACCUGUAUGAAUGGCAUAACGAGGACUUAACUGUCUCCUUUUCCUGGUCAAUGAAACUGAUCUGCCCGUGCAGAAGCGGGCAUGUUAACAUAAGACGAGAAGACCCUAUGGAGCUUUAGGCAAAUGAUCAUGUACACCAAACCCUCUCUUCAUUCAAAGCCUGGGGAAACAUAACGCUAAUGAUCAAUAUGCCUUCGGUUGGGGCGACCGUGGAGGAGAGAAAAGCCUCCAUGUAGAACGGGAAAACCCUUAAGCUAAGACAAACAAGUCUAAGUAUCAGAAAUUCUGACUAAAUGUGACCCAGGCCUAGCCUGAUCAACGAACCUAGUUACCCUAGGGAUAACAGCGCAAUCCCCUCCCAGAGUCCGUAUCGACGAGGGGGUUUACGACCUCGAUGUUGGAUCAGGACAUCCUAAUGGUGCAGCCGCUAUUAAGGGUUCGUUUGUUCAACGAUUAAUAGUCCUACGUGAUCUGAGUUCAGACCGGAGUAAUCCAGGUCGGUUUCUAUCUAUGAUCUAACCUACCCCUAGUACGAAAGGACCGGAGUAAGGGGGCCCACGAGAAAACAAGCCCCACCCCAACCCGCUGAAACCAUAUAAAGCAGAUAAUGGGGAAGACACAACUGCCAGAGAUAAUGGCAU
rnacentral:rRNA from 1 species